UACGUAGGGAGCAAGCGUUGUCCGGAAUCAUUGGGCGUAAAGCGCGCGUAGGCGGCCCGAUAAGUCCGCCGUGAAAGUCAACGGCUCAACUGUUGGAUGCCGGUGGAUACUGUCGGGCUAGAGUACGGAAGAGGCAAGUGGAAUUCCUGGUGUAGCGGUGGAAUGCGCAGAUAUCAGGAGGAACACCUAUAGCGAAGGCAGCUUGCUGGGACGUUACUGACGCUAAGGCGCGAAAGCGUGGGGAGCGAACAGG
rnacentral:rRNA from 1 species